CCUUUGAAUGGUCGUAAUCGUCGACAACCCAACCGACGUCCACCAUAGGCUCGGCGAGCUGUCCUCCUAGAUUUCCCGAAGGUAAUGCCAGGGCCUUUUCAGUACUGACGACUCUUGAUGCCAAGAAGGAGACCAACUAGACGAGACAGACCAUUGUUCAUAGGUUGGUUAUAAGCCCGGAGAUCGAAUCAGAUUCUUCCCCUUUGAGAGGGAUUCUCGUGCCAACCAUAGGAAGAAGAACUCGGUUA
rnacentral:lncRNA from 1 species